GAUGAACGCUGGCGGCGUGCCUAAUACAUGCAAGUCGAGCGAACAGACGAGGAGCUUGCUCCUCUGACGUUAGCGGCGGACGGGUGAGUAACACGUGGAUAACCUACCUAUAAGACUGGGAUAACUUCGGGAAACCGGAGCUAAUACCGGAUAAUAUAUUGAACCGCAUGGUUCAAUAGUGAAAGACGGUUUUGCUGUCACGUAUAGAUGGAUCCGCGCCGCAUUAGCUAGUUGGUAAGGUAACGGCUUACCAAGGCAACGAUGCGUAGCCGACCUGAGAGGGUGAUCGGCCACACUGGAACUGAGACACGGUCCAGACUCCUGCGGGAGGCAGCAGUAGGGAAUCUUCCGCAAUGGGCGAAAGCCUGACGGAGCAACGCCGCGUGAGUGAUGAAGGUCUUCGGAUCGUAAAACUCUGUUAUUAGGGAAGAACAAAUGUGUAAGUAACUAUGCACGUCUUGACGGUACCUAAUCAGAAAGCCACGGCUAACUACGUG
rnacentral:rRNA from 1 species